rnacentral:misc_RNA from 1 species
AGAAGAAGAGCAACGAACAUACGCGGUUAACAGAGCACAACGCAAACGAACACGUCACAAGCGUCGACGCUGGUUUCGCCUCCCCUCUCCUCCCCACGCCACCCACAGCCGCAAGGGAACAGGUGAAGCGGCGGGUAAAGAGAAGCAACGAUAACGCAAAAAAAAAAAAAACAGGCGCGCGGCUUCCCGCUCUCAUCCGCGGUCUCCCACAUAUCCGCCCAGAAGGCAAAGCGGGUACGUGCGCGGUUGGCAGUUGGCAGUUGGCAGUCUGCGCGGUGUCAACCAAACACUCAGCACGCGCAUACGCACACACACACACGUAACUUUUUCUCACCUCCUCUUGUGCUGUUGAAGGAGAAUGCGCCGAGUCGUACAGAGGGCGACGGUGGCCUCCGCGAUGGCCGCCGCGUCGGUUUCUGGCGUCGUGCUGUUCAAGCCUUCGAACGGCGUCUCUCCCGCGCUGAGUUGUGUCGUCGGUGGCUGCACCACUGUCACGGCUCCCACACUCACGUCGGCCUACCGCUUCUGUUCUACCGAAAAGUCCGCCACCGACGCCGCCACUGAGGCAGAGAAGAAGCCGAAGGCAGACGCUUCGGAGGAGCUGGACGAAGACGUCAUCGUGGAGCCUGCUCCGGAGAACACGAAUGCCGGAGCGAACGGGGUGGACAGCAGCGCCACCGAGGCGACGGCUGCGACGAGCGCCACGGUUGAGAAGCCUGUUGGCGAGUCGGAGGAGAUGGGCUUCAAGACGGAGACCCGCCAGCUGCUGGACAUCGUUGCAUGCAGCCUGUACAGUGACAAGGAGGUGUUCAUCCGCGAGUUGGUGUCCAAUGCCAGCGACGCUCUGGAGAAGCGCCACCUGCUGGAGCUCAGCAACCCUGAUUACGCCCGCGAGCCGGCCGACGAGGCCCCACUGAUUGCCCUCUCCUGCAACCAGAGCAAGAGUCGCUUCAUCAUCCGCGAUACCGGUAUCGGCAUGACCCGAGAGGAGCUGACAGCGAACCUGGGCACGAUUGCCGGCUCCGGCUCGAAGGCGUUUGUACACGAGCUCCAGAGCAGCGGCAAAUCGGCGGCCGAGAAGAUCAUCGGCCAGUUCGGCGUCGGCUUCUACGCGUGCUUCAUGGUGGCCAAGAACGUCAAGGUCUACAGCCGCAGUGCCAAGAAGGGCUCGAAGGGCUACCUGUGGGAGUCGGAGGGCACCGGCACCUUCAAAGUGACGGAGUGCGAGGGGGUCGAAAAGGGUACCAAGAUUGUGCUGGAUGUGAAGGACACGGAGCUGUCCUUCUGCACCCCGCAGGUGGUGGAGCGGGUGCUGAAGAAGUACAGCAACUUUGUCUCCUACGAGAUCACUCUCAACGGCGGCAAGGUAAACACUGUCGAGGCGCUCUGGAUGAAGGACAAGAACGACGUCACCAACGAGGAGCAUAUCGACUUUUACAAGUUCAUCUCCGGCUCCUACGACAGCCCCAUGUUCCGCCUUCACUACUCCAUCGACGCCCCGAUGAGCGUGCGGGCGCUGCUCUACGUGCCGCAGUCGCACACGGAGAAGUACGGCGGUGGCCGCAUGGAGGCGGGUGUGAACUUGUACUCUCGCCGCGUGCUGAUCCAGUCCAAGGCGAAGGGGCUGCUGCCGGACUGGCUGCGUUUCAUCAAGGGUGCCGUGGACAGCGAGUCGAUCCCGCUAAACGUGUCGCGCGAGCACACGCAGGACGGCGGUAUGAUGCGCCGGCUGAGCACGAUCCUGACAAAGCGGAUCAUUCGCUGGCUCGAGGAGGAGAGCAAGCGCGACCGCAGCAAGUACGAGCGCUUCAUUCAGGAGUAUGGCCCCUUCCUGAAGGAGGGCGUGUGCACGGACCAGGUGCACAAGAUGGAGCUCGCGAAGCUCCUGCGCUUCCAGACGACGAAGUCCGACAUUGACUAUCCCUACGUCUCCCUGGACAACUACCGCGACCGUAUGCAGCCGAAUCAGUCCCACAUCUACUACCUGAACUUGCCCAGCAAGGAGAUGGCACUGCAGUCGCCCUACUACGAGCAGUACAAGGAGCACGACCUUGAGGUGCUCAUCUGCACUGAGCCGAUUGACGACUUUGUCAUGCAGCACCUCGACACCUACGCGAAGCACAAGCUGCAGAACAUCGAGAUGUUCGACGCCAACCUUGACGGCUACGUGCAACAUAAGAAGAAGCUCGAGGGGGACAAGAACGAUGACGUGGCCGUGAAGAAGCAGCUGAAUGAUGUCCAGGUCAAGGCGCUCUCCGACUUCAUCUCGAAGCGCCUCGUCGGCCGCGUCGGCGUUGUCAAGUCGACGGACCGCCUGCGCGACAGCCCUGCCGUGCUGGCGGACCACGAGGCGGCCCAGAUGCGCAAGAUCUACCGUAUGACAGGCCAGGCCGCUGGUCCACCACCGAAGUACAACCUCCACUUCAACCCCCAGCACCCUCUCAUCCGCAAGCUGUACACGCUGUCGCAGUCGGAGGCGAGCGAGGAGGUGGAGACGGCUGGCCUGCUCACGGAGCAGAUCUUUGACAACGCCAUCAUCGCCGCUGGACUCCUCGAGGACCCGCGCAGCAUCGUGACGCGCCUCAACACGAUCAUGUCGCGCAUGGUCGAGAAGGUGCCGGAGCCGUCGGCGGACAAGUGAAGGGGGUCAGUUGAGUAUGGCAAUGAGCGCCUGUGCGCCUCAGUGAGUGUGCCAGCUGACUUGCUUGCGCCCUGUGACUUUUCCUUGUGUGUUUCCCAUCUCUAUUGAGGGCUUGCCCCCCCCCCCUCCUGCCCUUCUCUGCGUGCGGGAAAGCUGGUCUCUCUCGCACCGGUGGUGGUGAUGGGGGGAGGGGGGGCACCACUUUCUACACUGAGGGCCCCGAGACAGCGUAAUUGCUUCACAAGACACGUGAGGCGGGCCAAAGAACAGCCGCAACAAAAAAGGUACGGAAAACGAGCAGAGGGGAUUGAAUGCGGUGAACACGAAAAACGAGAACGGAAAGUGACACGCAGGCUCUCAGGGAGCGGAGGGGCGAAGGAGCUGUCAAGGAGCAGGAGGCGGCCGGGCUAGCAGGAGAGACGUGGGAGCCCGCAAGCAAGGAGGGCACAGAAGUGGGCAGGACUCUUAUAGAGUUACGGGCUUGAAUGACCUCGACUCGUGUUCGACUCCUCUGAGAGAGCGAGAAGAUAACUUUACAACGAGGAGAGCAGACGUGCCAGUCGGCCACGUGCUGCACAGCCGCCCCGCUCCUUUCGGCUUCUCAUUUUUUUUUGCACGACUCUCCUUUGGUAUGCUGCCGCGGCCUCCUCUCCUGUUGUUCUCCUCUCUUCUUCCCGCUCUUCCUGAUCUUUCCUGGUGAUAAAGUUUGUUUUGCCUAAGACAGAUACACGCAACAGACGGAAUCUCAUGCGCGCGCUCCCUCUUAUCGUCGUCCACGUCUUUUCUCUCAAGCCUUGCCACGCAUAUGGGAUCAGAAAACAUAUCGGCGCGGCUGGAGUCUCGUGCUCUCUCCCUCCUCUCACUUUCUGCCUGCGUAUGCGUUCUGGCGCACCUCCGAGAGCGGUGACGUGUGACGACUCUUUCUUGAGUAUUAAAUAAUUUCUCGUUGAGUCUUCUCAGAUUAGCAAGGGAAAACAG